rnacentral:rRNA from 1 species
GACGAACGCUGGCGGCGCGCCUAACACAUGCAAGUCGAACGGAGCUGAGAGAAGCUUGCUUUUCUUAGCUUAGUGGCGAACGGGUGAGUAACGCGUGAGUAACCUGCCCUGGAGUGGGGGACAACAGUUGGAAACGACUGCUAAUACCGCAUAAGCCCACGAUCCGGCAUCGGAUUGAGGGAAAAGGAUUUAUUCGCUUCAGGAUGGACUCGCGUCCAAUUAGCUAGUUGGUGAGGUAACGGCCCACCAAGGCGACGAUUGGUAGCCGGACUGAGAGGUUGAACGGCCACAUUGGGACUGAGACACGGCCCAGACUCCUACGGGAGGCAGCAGUGGGGGAUAUUGCACAAUGGGGGAAACCCUGAUGCAGCGACGCCGCGUGGAGGUAGAAGGUUUUCGGAUUGUAAACUCCUGUCGUUAGGGACGAUAAUGACGGUACCUAACAAGAAAGCACCGGCUAACUACGUG